UUUCUUUUAAUUGAAUCCAGUUCAGUUAAUUUGAAUUUAAUUUAGUUUAAGUCUAGAAGUGAAUGUUGAUGCUGCUGAUGUUUCCAUCAGAGAACGAUGCUGCAGAACAAUCUGAUCAUCAGAUGAUGGGAAUAA